CCAAAAUGCGCCAAGGUCGGACGCGCCCGAGCGAGGGAGCGGAGGCGACUCGGCCGCCAUGUUAGGAGUGCCGGGAGGACUCCGCGGAGCCGCCCGGAGGUUCAGGGAGCGCGGGAUCCGAGUGGUGGUGCGGUGGGGACGGUGAGGUGGAGAGCAAGCCGAUGGGAGAACCUUGGGCCACGAUCCGGUGGGGAGCCGGGUGGAAGCCGCCCUGGGGACUGAUGUCCUGCGGGUCCAACUGGGGGUGGCAUCUGGAUGGAGGCCGAGUGAGCCUCCGCCUCACGGUCCUGCAGGGUUGCAUGGAGCCCCACGCCCCCCGCCCCAUUUUCUAAGGGAUUGAGGGAGUUGUUUUACUUCUGGGAGUGGAGGCUCCCUUAGACUGGCUAGCAGGACCGUCGCGGUGGUUGCCUCUGCUGAGGUGCUGCCGGCUUUCACCUAAGGAGUUGGGGGAAACUUUGUCCUUAUUUGUGUCUUCUUGCUAUUUAUUUGCAACAAUCAUGCCCCCUCUACUAGGUUUGGGCCUUCACUUAUUUCUCAUACGGAAGUGAUUUGCAAAGGUCUUAAAAGAAACCGUUAUUGGAAGGUACGGGCUAGAAGGGAACAUUGCUUUGGCCUUGAAGAUGAGAAAAAAACAUGGAGCAGCCUAAAGGAGAAACACCCAGUUGAACGACAACUCACUGACUGGAGAAAGCAGGGAGGUUGAAAGGGCAUAUUAUUUAUAGGCUUACCGAGGGCGGGUGAACUGAUCCGGAGUAACACUGGUUCUUGGAUAAACGAAGCGUAUGCUAAGUUGAUUAACAUGGAUUGCCAGUUUAUUUUAAAAAUUCAUUUAGUAUGUGGUAUUCCAUACGUAUGACUGCUUUAAGAACUUUUAAGUCAUUUUGCCCAGUCUCUUAAAUGAACUGUAUUUUUUUCCCCAAUUGUGUUACUAAAACAGAAUUGUAUGUUUGUUCUUUUCCAGAGUCUGUCUACACUAUGGAAAGAUGGGAAAUUUCAUUUCCUGCUGAGGGUGUCUCAAGGGUUAAAGAAAAUGCUGUUAUCUGUGCUUCCCCCACCUACUUCUCCCUUUUGCACUUUAUUCUGAGAACAGAAUUGACUGUGGUUUGGGGGGGUUAGUGGAGGUAUGCACUAUAUCUCUAUUAGGACAUAAUAAAAUUAGAGCAGAUAGUUUCUCCUAUUAAAAAAAAAAAAGGCUAGUCAGAGUGAUUUUAAAUGACCAAAACAGGCAGAAACAGUCUUUCAGAUGUAUGCAGAUGAUAAUUAUAAAAACAGAAUUUGAAAGACUCAACAUAUGUCAUGUUCCUGGGAACAAGCCACAAGAUGAGUCACUUUGUUUCAUUCUUACACAAAGGUAAAUUGUUGGUGUCAUUUAUCCAUGAAUACAACCAUGUACAAGGCUCAUACAAAUAGUAUGUUAUUCAGAAACACUUUUGCAAAUACUGAUGGUAAGUAGUUGGAAAGAAGCAAAUGCUUACUUUUUUUUUUUUUCUGACCUCUGGCUUACCUUAGAAAUGUUUUGAGCUAAUAAAUCUUGUGCAUUUUAUAAGACAGUUAUGUAAGCAACAGCCUUAGUUUGAGUUACUGUGAAAGGCCAGUAUAUAGUGGGGAAAGGAACAGAAUGCUCAAAAAUCUUACGUGUGAAAAAUAAGAGUGAUAUCUUUUUAAGUUUAAAGUUUUUAAGUUUAAAGUUGUUCAUCUGAACAUCUGGCCAUACGUGAAACGAAUGUAUUUAGUAUCCUUAAAAUUGUCCGUGAUUUAAUUCUUUUUUUUUUCUUUUAAACUUUUUUUUUUUUUAGUUGUAGUUGGACACAGUGCCUUUAUUUUAUUUAUUGCUGUGUGAUGCUAAGGAUCGAACCCAGCGCCUCGCACAUGCUAGGUAGCACUCCACUACUGAGCCACAAUCCCAGCCCCUCCAUGAUGUAAUUCUUACUUUGAUGAGGGGGGAAAAAUUCCACACUCCUGUUUAGAAAUUUGAUUUACAAAUUAAUAUCUGUGGGUCUGUGAUGCUAGCUUCUGAAAGAAUAGCCUGAGGAAAAUAUUGAAUUAGAAAAACAUUUUAAAAUUGGAAUUAGGAAAGAGAUAAACUACAUUCAAGUAUCAUAGGUAGCACAUUUAAGAGUAUUGAGUCAGUUGCAUUUAGAGCAGAGGUUUUUUUCAACAAGGAUAAGUGUCAGGAUUGCCUAUAAAAAUCUAAAAAUAUAUUACUACUGCCCAUCCAUCCCUGUUGAAUUGGAACCAACUAUUGAGUAUUUUUAGAACUUUAUAAGUGUGACUACAGGGCUUGGGUGGAGUAGUCUUCUGCAUCCUGUAUUUGUGUUUUUGUAUUAUCUAAAGCAAGGAAUAACAAAAAGAUUUUGGCAAAAACUAGUUAAUUGCUGAUUUUAUCCAUGUGAUUUCUGAAAGUGUAGAUGAGGGAUUCACCUGGUGAUCAACUUAAACAUGGCAUUUGGGAAGCAAAUGCAGCUGAAAUUGGGGAGAAGAAAUCAAUGUUAACCUUAAAAGUACUGCCAUAUCAUCACUUACCUAGAUGUUUCUGAGAGUGAAGGUUUAGCCUAAUCCUAACAAAGCCUAAUAAUAAGAGACACCCAGUAAUAGCACAAUGCCAGUAAGAGCUCAUUGCCAUGAUAAAAUCAUGGUAGUUAUUCAGAAAGAGGCAACAUGAUAUUUUGGUUUGGGGAAUUUUCUGGAAAUAACAACCCUUUGCCCUAAAUCUAGAAUUUUUUUAGAUUAUUGAUAUUGUAACGUUCUUGAUAUUUGAGUAUCUAAAGUCAUAUAGGCCCCUUUUUAGAAAUGAGAAAUCUUACAGAUCGUCUAAGACAUGUUCUACAGAAGAGGAAAUGGACACAGUAAAUUUUAAAAUUACUAGUGGUCACACUGCACGCUAGUGGUAAGACGCAUAGCUAAAGGUGAAAUCCAGUUCCUUCCAUCUUUAGUGCUAUGCGCAUUUUUUUUAAGCUCCAGAUUUUUUUCCCCUAUGAUACUCGAGGGUUUAUACAUUUCAGUAUAUAUUUGAUUUUAGUGUUGGAAUCUCAGACAAUUUAAAAAAUUGUAAAAUAGAAGAAACGUUUAUUUUUUAGGUUUGUUGUCUUGUGAUGGGGUCUUGUUAUGUUCCAUGCUGACCUGGAACUUCUGGGUUCCAGCCAAGCUAUCCUCCCACUUCGAUGUCCUAGAGUCACUGGGAAUACAGACAUGUUCCUGGUGCCUGGCUUCUGCAAAUUCUUUGGUUCACUGAAUUUGUCUACAGUCUUUACAUUCAAAGUCCAGUUACAUUCUUUUCAUCCAUAUUUGCUGAUGAUUAAGAUAAGACCUAAGAGAAUAAGCAGUUUAAAUGUUUAAAUUAAUCGCAGGAUUUAAACAAACUUUAAUACAUCUUUAGAGGAGGGAGGUACAUUUGGAGAUACUAUUAGCCUGAAUUCCUACUGUUUUAGUUUGAAGUCCAUUUUUUUAUUUUUAGUUGUAGAUAGACACAAUACUUUUGUUGGGGAGGGGGUUAAUUUUUUUUUUUUUAUUUUAGAUGUUCAUGGACCUUUAUUUUAAUGUGGUGCUGAGAAUUGAACCCAGUGCCUCACACAUGCUAGGCAAGCACUGUACCCAUGUGGUGCUGAGGAUCAAACCCAGUCCCUUUCAUGUGCUAGGCAAGUGCUCUACCACUGAGCUAUAGCCCCAGCCCUUGAAGUCCAUUUUUAAUGGUUUGCUUUUAUCACAAAAAAAAAUUUAUAACAUUCUAGGGCUGGAUUUGUGGCACAGUGGUAGAGCACUCGCCUUGCACAGGUGAGGUACUAGGUUCAAUCCUCAGCACCACAUAAAAAUAAAUUUUUAAAAAUUUCUAUAACAAAGCCUUGACAAUAGAUAAUAGCAGGGGUGUUGAUGAAAGUUCAGUGAAAUAGGACUGGAGUUGUAGCUUGGUGGUAAUACGCUUACCUAGCAUAUGUGAGACACUGGGUUUGAUUCUCAGCACCAUAUAUAAAUAAAUAAAGAUCCAUUAACAACUAAAAAAAUAUAAAAAGAAGAAACUUAAGUGAAAUAAUAAGUCAAAUUUGUAUGACAAGUUCACAUUAAAAUAUAGCUCCAUUUCUUCCUUUGAUAUAAUGACAAUAUAGGGCAACAAUCUUUUAGCCUAUAACGGUAAGAAAUGUGGCAUGCCUAUUGCUGGGUUGCGUUACUAUGUAACUAUGGUUAUGCCUGGGAUGGCUUAACUUGAAGAAAAUUACAUAAUGAUUUUCCCAGUUUACCUGGACAGUUUGAAAAGCCUCACAAUUGAUUAUGAAAAUCAGACCCUGUCUUUACUGAAAAUCAGUAGUUAAUUCCCUAAAAGAAUAGUUAGAAUGCCUAAAUUUAUAAAAAAGUAUUAGAAUUACUUUGUACCUUACCAAGUUUUGAAAUAAUCCUUUUCAUAUUCUGACCUAUGAAGUUUGGAAAACCUGCCAUCUGCUAUGUUGCCUACCCUUCCGGUUCAGCAAUUGUCUUACCAAUUCCAGAAAUGCAGUGCCAAUAACCCAAAGGUGAUAACAGGCCCAGAAGUUACAUUAAAACUUACUCUGACCAACAAAUAAAAGUAAUCAAGACAAUAAGCAAACUUAAAGGGAGAAAAUAAAAACAUUACAAAAAUGUCUUUUCAGACCUCCCCUAAGAUUGAGUUAAAGGUUUUCAGCCAGUAUUUUCAUAAGUAGUUACAGAUAAGCCUGCCAUUUAGGUUUAGUAACUAGAGUUUCUCCAGGGAAGAUCUUUAAUUCUGUACAGGAAGAAAAAAAUUCUUCCUGUACAGAAUUAAAGAUCUUCCCUGGAGAAACUCUAG
rnacentral:lncRNA from 1 species